UGCUUGUGUUGUGUUGUGUACGGCUCCUUCACCUUGGGCGUAAUUGGAGUUUGACAACAUCAUCCUCACUGUACCCUCUGAUGUCGUCAGAUGUCUUGAUCAUCCCGAUAAGUUGGCGGACCUCUGGAAUGACAUCACGAAGGCCAUCGCUGACCUGGCUGCCAAAUCCCACAAAUUUUCAUGGAAAGACCAAUUUGUAGCAGACGUUCAAAUUUCACACGAUUUUAUGUAUGCAGAUUAUCCUAUAAUGGCACACCGGGGUUCUGCAACUGGGUUGGUGGAUGUUAACCAUGUGAAGACCAAAGGCAUUUGGGUGGAGUUCCCUCCACACACCACAGAGUGCACAUGCAACCUGUGGUCAGUGUACGUGCAUGAAGUGGUGUUUGGGAUCAAAUGGGACAAAGUAAAGGAACACAGUGCCUAAAACAGGCUCAUUCAGCGAUAACUUCUGCAAAUCGAAAUAAACGACUCAAGGAUUAUAUCAAAGGAGGCAAAAAGCUCUGCAGCUGUAGCAUGUGGGUGAACCUGGAGACAUACUUGCAGGUAAGAGA